CUGUCUCCAAGUGUUACCUAACCCUAGUCCCUCUCUCUCACUGUCUCCAAGUGUUACCUAACCCCUCUCUCACUCACUGUCUCCAAGUACUGUAACCAGGUGUUGAAUAAGGAGAUGGAUGAAUGUGUUUAUAAUAUUAGUGUGUGUAUCUCUCUCUCUCCAGGUACUGUAACCAGGUGUUGAAUAAGGAGAUAGAUGAAUGUGUUUA